rnacentral:sRNA from 1 species
GCCAGGCACAGUGGCCCAUGCCUGUAAUCCCAGCAGCUCAGGAGGUUGAGGCAGGAGGAUCACAAGUUCAAAGCCAGCCUCAGCAAUGGUGAGGCACUAAGCAACUCAGUGAGACCCUGUCUCUA